UUUAAGAAAUUAGGUUAUGAAGAUGAACUAUUGUUCUUGAUGGAUGCUCUUGUCAAAAUGAAAGUUUUGUAAUCUCAACCGCAACCUUCAAGCGCAGCGG
rnacentral:lncRNA from 1 species